rnacentral:tRNA from 1 species
GCUCAGUUGGUUAAACACCUGACUUUGGCUCAGGUCAUGAUCUUGCAGUUUGUGAGUUCGAGCCCCAUACUGGGCU